GACAGAGGGGGCAAGCGUUGCUCGGAAUUACUGGGCGUAAAGGGCGCGUAGGCGGGAUGGCAAGUCGGUCGUGAAAUCCUUCGGCUCAACCGAAGAACGUCGAUCGAUACUGCUGUUCUAGAGGAUUGCAGAGGAGACUGGAAUUCCCGGUGUAGCGGUGAAAUGUGUAGAGAUCGGGAGGAACACCGGUGGCGAAGGCGGGUCUCUGGGGGCAACCUGACGCUGAGGCGCGAAAGCGUGGGGAGCGAACCGG
rnacentral:rRNA from 1 species